GCCAGUGCAGCGUAGUGGUUUGAGUGUUGGACUACGACUCUGGAAACCAGGUUUCAAUUCCCAGCUCAGCCA
rnacentral:tRNA from 1 species